GCUGGCGGCUCGCAGCUGUGCUGGGCGCGAGAGGGGACGUGGAAGCAGGAGCAGAAGCGUCGGGGCCACACCGGGAGAGAAAAUAGGUCCCAGUGCAUCUUCAUGUUCUGGGGUCAUUGUAAAAAGGACUUCCCCACCCCCUCCACCGGGAAGAGGCGUCUUCUUGUGUCAUAGUGAGGAGGAUACGGGGCGACAACGUGGGCCUCCUGUCACAGCUGUACAUCAGCCCUCUCUACCUGUAAUGUACUGACAGCCGUCAACUUCUGAACCUUUAGAUCCUUAAUUAGUUCAGCAGGGAGACCUUAGAUCCUCUAGGAGAGAGAGCAAACAAAGACUUCCUUAAUGUAGAUGAAUUUUCUCCAACCUGUUGUUGUAAAUGUCCUGUUUUUGCUCAAUCACGAGUAGAACUGUGCAACCUCUUUGGCUUUGUGCUUUUCUCACCUCCCAUCGUAAUGUACUGAAGUCAGUCAGAAGGAAAUGGAUGAGAGAAAUCUUUCGUUCGAGGAUUCAUGGAUGACAGAAGGAAACAUGACAUUCUGCUGAACAGGAAGUCACGGCUAUAUUGCCACACUUUUUAUCUAAUAAAUUUCACGCCCAGUUUUGGUCAGUAAAAUAAUCAUUAACACAACCUUGCUGUGACUUUAGCAUUUAACACGGGCCUCUGACUCAUACAGAAUAUUAAAUAUUGUUAGGACCCUGAGGGAAAUAUGAGUGCAAGUGGCAGUGCCACUGUUGUACCAUGUCAGCAUUUCAAAGUAGGAUUCACUGUAAGUACGUCCCACUGGUGGUAAAGUGCUGCGACACACCAGCGUCUAGUAUCACAGAAACAACAUUCCUUGUGUCCGUGCGGGAAUGUGCGGCAAUGAGAGUAAUUAUAUAAUUAUACAAUUACAUGACACUUUAAGUCUUUAAUAAUUUAAUUUCUCAUCACAUCUGAGUCAGAGCCAAGGAUUUUUUUCAGGUACAAUGUGGAGGGUGGUCAAGCACCUGUCCUUUUGCCCCAGAUGAGAAAAGUGCCCCUUCUGCAUUUUCUUCAUUCAUCAAUAUUGAAGAGUAAAAAUGACUGUUUCCGUAAUCAGUUCCCCCCAAUGCGUUUAGAUAUCUGACGGGGCAUUUAUUUGAGUUCUUGUGAGAAUUUUGCCCCGACAUGCUCCACGCCACUCAUAAGCCCCGCCCUCCCUCCUCCUCCAAAAAAAUGAACAAACAAAAGCCCGUGUCAAGCUGUCUACUGACUUUGUCAUGUUUAAUGAAGAGCGAGAGAGAGAGAGAGAGAGAUGUAGACAGACAGGCCGAUCAUUUAAAGGCAGUUUUACUGUUCUACAGAUUAGACAAGUUUACUAAUUUUGUUUAAUUUAAUCAAUUACUGAAAUGAAAGGUAGGUCUUAAAUUGAGCUACAUGCCAGUCUAGUGAGGUAUAUUGUAGUUAUUAUUAGUGUAAUGCUGCUUAUGUUUCAACUAUGUCAGAAAACAGUAAAAUAAAAUGUGUGUCAGCUUUAUAGAGAUUAUGUAAGUCACUCUUGAUUAUUAUGCACAACAUUGAUUUAUCUCAUUUUGCUGCAUAAAGAGAGACUCCAUCCAGCAGAUGGACAGGGAAUAUAUCCUACUGUGUUUUUUUAUUUAUUUAUUUUAGUAGUAAUAUUUUUAGUUUUCUGACUAUUUUGGCGAUGCCCUUUUGCUUUGGUUUGAGCCCCUGCCCCCCGAAAUGUCUGUGCACGUGCCUGAUGUGAACCAUGUUUGCCAUCUUUGUUGGACGUAUGCAUUACCGUUCAGUACUGUCAGAUCUUCAAAAAGUGAGUUACUUGUAGUUAAACAUAUCUCCUGCCGGAAGAACCGGACGUGUAAUAAAAAAACAAAAACGUGA